rnacentral:rRNA from 1 species
UACGGGGGGGGCAAGCGUUGUUCGGAAUUACUGGGCGUAAAGGGUUUGUAGGUGGCUUGUUAAGUCAGACGUGAAAUCCCUCAGCUUAACUGGGGAACUGCGUCUGAUACUGGUGAGCUUGAGUGCAGGAGAGGAACGCGGAAUUCCAGGUGUAGCGGUGAAAUGCGUAGAUAUCUGGAGGAACACCGGUGGCGAAGGCGGCGUUCUGGACUGCAACUGACACUGAAAAACGAAAACCAGGGGAGCAAACGGG